rnacentral:misc_RNA from 1 species
AGUCGUAACAAGGUCUCCGUAGGUGAACCUGCGGAGGGAUCAUUACAAGAACGCCCGGGCUUCGGCCUGGUUAUUCAUAACCCUUUGUUGUCCGACUCUGUUGCCUCCGGGGCGACCCUGCCUUCGGGCGGGGGCUCCGGGUGGACACUUCAAACUCUUGCGUAACUUUGCAGUCUGAGUAAACUUAAUUAAUAAAUUAAAACUUUUAACAACGGAUCUCUUGGUUCUGGCAUCGAUGAAGAACGCAGCGAAAUGCGAUAAGUAAUGUGAAUUGCAGAAUUCAGUGAAUCAUCGAAUCUUUGAACGCACAUUGCGCCCCCUGGUAUUCCGGGGGGCAUGCCUGUUCGAGCGUCAUUUCACCACUCAAGCCUCGCUUGGUAUUGGGCAACGCGGUCCGCCGCGUGCCUCAAAUCGWCCGGCUGGGUCUUCUGUCCCCUAAGCGUUGUGGAAACUAUUCGCUAAAGGGUGUUCGGGAGGCUACGCCGUAAAACAACCC